rnacentral:lncRNA from 1 species
CUUCUCCAUGGAGUGUGGACAGACAUGACACAGUGCGGGCUCCUGGCCUGGGCCUUAGAAGGCCUCGUGUAUUUCUGCUCAACUCUCUGGGAGCUUCUGACCUUCACCUUGAGAAGAACACACCCCAGGUAGACAUCAAUUACAGACCCCAACAGGAAGACAUCAGUUACUGGCCCCAAUGGGAAGAGACAUACCUUGCAUUCCCAAACAGGAAGUGGAGCUAUUUUACUACUCCAGCAGGAGGAAGGAAGUCUUCCUUCUUGCCCAGCAAUAAGCCAAGCCAAUGAGAAGCCAUCUUCACCUGAACUUUUACUUUCCUCCAGUGAACUUUCAUUAUUUCCUUGAGAUGACUUCCUUUCCUCGUCCCACCCUCCUUGCUAUAAAAGCCUUCCAUGUUGUGUAACCCCUCAGAGUGUCUCUGCUUGCUAGAUCAGAGGCUGCCCCAUGCAUGAAUGCUUCAAUAAAGC